rnacentral:lncRNA from 1 species
UCCGGCCCCGCCCCAUCCUGCUCUGGCUCCCACCUCCGUUCAGGCGGAGCCACUCGGCGCCUGAAGCGAAGGGCCUCCGGUGCCUACGUGCAGUCGCCUCCUCCGCUUGAGCCUACGCCUUCUGCUCCAGUUGCUUUCCCAACCGAGCAGAAAAGCCGGGGGCGUGUUGCCGGGGCACUGGGAAGCCGGGAGCUUGGGCACUGCGCCUGAAGUCGCUGCUGCGCCUCCCCGCCCACGGGCGGUCGGGUCACGGUCCCUGAAGCCCCAGCCUGCCAGAUUGGAGCCCAUACUGACGUCAAGGAGGACACUGGGUUCCUUAGGAGCCGCCCCAGGCUUAAUGAUUGUCCAGAAGUUGGCUAUAAAGGGAGCCUGGGAGGCUGAUUGGAGGAGGGAGCAGAAAAAGCCUAACUCAGCAGGUCUGGGCACCGAGAGCCGAAAGCAGGAGCUGUGGUCAGAAGCUCGUGUCCCAGCCGGUAGGGCCUGCUCUCUCCCACCAUGGCGGCCCGAGGCUACGGCUAUUAUCGUGCUGUGAUCUUCUCAGCCAUGUUUGGAGGCUACAGCCUGUACUACUUCAACCGCAAGACCUUCUCCUUUGUCAUGCCGUCGCUGGUGGAAGAGAUCCGUCUGGACAAGGAUGACUUGGCCCCUAACCCCCCAGGUGUCCUGCUCCCUGCUCCCCUUCCCUGCAGGGCUCAUCACCAGUAGCCAGUCAGCAGCCUAUGCCAUCAGCAAGUUUGUGAGUGGGGUGCUGUCUGACCAGAUGAGUGCUCGCUGGCUCUUCUCCUCUGGGCUGCUUCUUGUUGGCCUGGUCAAUGUCAUCUUUUCCUGGAGCUCCACAGUACCUGUCUUCGCUGCUCUCUGGUUCCUCAAUGGCCUGGCCCAGGGGCUGGGCUGGCCCCCGUGUGGCAAGAUCUUGCGGAAGUGGUUUGAGCCAUCUCAGUUUGGCACUUGGUGGGCCAUCCUAUCAACUAGCAUGAACCUGGCUGGAGGGCUGGGCCCCAUCCUGGCAACCAUCCUCGCCCAGAGCUAUAGCUGGCGUAGCACGCUGGCCCUGUCUGGGGCCUUGUGUGUGGUUGUCUCCUUCCUCUGUCUCCUGCUCAUCCACAAUGAACCUGCUGAUGUUGGACUCCGCAACCUGGACCCUAUCCCCUCCAAGGGCAAGAAGGGCUCCUCAAAGGAGGAGAGUACCUUACAGGAGCUGCUGCUGACCCCCUACCUGUGGGUGCUCUCCAUUGGCUACCUUGUGGUAUUUGGCGUAAAGACGUGCUGUACUGACUGGGGCCAGUUCUUCCUUAUCCAGGAGAAAGGACAGUCAGCCCUCGUGGGUGAGAUGAGGGUUGGGACAAGGGCGGGCCUGGGAGCAGGAGCCAGUGCAGGGGAUGGGAAAUUCAGACCUGGUUCCUUUAUCCUUUCUUCUUUCCCUGUGGCCGGUCACCCUUGGGGACCCUGUACCUCUCUGUGUUUAAGCCGAUCUGGGGCAACCCCACAGGAUAACACCCUUCCUCCCUUCCUUUCCCUCUUCCCACCACGACUCCCCACUGCAGGUAGCUCCUACAUGAGUGCCCUGGAGGUUGGGGGCCUUGUAGGCAGCAUCGCAGCUGGCUACUUGUCAGACCGGGCCAUGGCAAAGGCAGGGCUGUCCAUCCACGGGAACCCCCGCCAUGGCCUGCUGCUGCUCAUGAUGGCUGGCAUGACAGCAUCCAUGUACCUCUUCCGGGUAACUGUGACCAGUGACUCCCCUAAGCUCUGGAUCCUGGUGUUGGGAGCUGUGUUUGGUUUCUCCUCUUAUGGUCCCAUUGCCUUGUUUGGAGUCAUAGCCAAUGAGAGUGCCCCUCCCAACCUGUGUGGCACCUCCCAUGCCAUUGUGGGACUCAUGGCCAAUGUGGGUGGCUUUCUGGCUGGGUUGCCCUUCAGCACCAUUGCCAAGCAUUACAGCUGGAGCACAGCCUUCUGGGUGGCUGAAGUGAUCUGUGCGGCCAGUACAGGUGCCUUCUUCCUCCUACGAAACAUCCGCACCAAGAUGGGCCGAGUGCCAAAGAAGGCUGAGUGAAGACCGUGCAAACUCUGGAGCGUCCUUUCUCACCUGUGUCAUGGGGGUUGGGAAAGGGAGGGAGGGGGCUGCUCUGGCAGCACCACCUUUGACUUUCUUUUUCUGCACCUUUUCCCUCACCCAGGUGGUGCUGGAAGUUAUCAGUGGCUAAUGAGGUCCCAGCUCCCCAUCCUAUCUCUAUUUAAAAAACAAGUUUUGGGAGUUCUCACUGUAGCACAGUGGGUUAGGAAUCCAAUUGCAGUGGCUUGGGUUGCUGCAGAGGUGUAGGUUCAACCCCUGGCCCAGCAUAGCAGGUUAAAGGACCCAGCAUUGCUACAGCUGCAGUUCGGAUUAGAUUCUUGACCCAGGAACUUCCAUAUGCCUCAGGUGCAGCCAUAAAAAUUAAAAAAAAAAAAAAGAGAGAGAGAGAGAGAGAGAGAAAACCUUUGUUUCUGGACUCCGUUAGUUCUUGCCUUCAAACUGGAAACCCCAGCACUCAGGGAGUCUCCUAUACCCUUCUCCCUCUCCUGGGCUCCGUCCUGUCCCCAUCACACACCAUCCCCACCUGAGGUGACGCUCCUGUAGCAGGACAGCAGUAGCCCGGGACUGCCCUGAGACCUCUCAGCAGGGGGCAGUUGCUAUUGCCAAUACCUUGGACUCCAGUGGAAGAGGGGAGGCCGUCACUCUUACCGAUACCUUGGGUACAGUAGGGGGUAAGGGUGGGAGGGUACAGAGACUUGUUAUAGAAAAUUAAAACUAGAUUUGAUACU